UGCUAGGGUGGCAGAUUUAUGCAUUAGACUUAAGCUCUAAAGAUGAGGAAAUUUCUCCUUUCCUGGUU
rnacentral:tRNA from 1 species